rnacentral:rRNA from 1 species
UACGAAGGGGACUAGCGUUGUUCGGAAUCACUGGGCGUAAAGCGCACGUAGGCGGCUUUGUAAGUUAGAGGUGAAAGCCCAGGGCUUAACCCUGGAAUUGCCUUUAAGACUGCAUCGCUAGAAUCGUGGAGAGGUGAGUGGAAUUCCGAGUGUAGAGGUGAAAUUCGUAGAUAUUCGGAAGAACACCAGUGGCGAAGGCGACUCACUGGACACGUAUUGACGCUGAGGUGCGAAAGCGUGGGGAGCAAACGGG